rnacentral:rRNA from 1 species
CCUACGGGUGGCAGCAGUGGGGAAUAUUGCACAAUGGGGGAAACCCUGAUGCAGCGACGCCGCGUGAAGGAAGAAGUAUUUAGGUAUGUAAACUUCUAUCAGCAGGGAAGAAAAUGACGGUACCUGACUAAGAAGCCCCGGCUAACUACGGGCCAGCAGCCGCGGUAAUACGUAGGGGGCACGCGUUAUCCGGAUUUACUGGGUUUAAAGGGAGCGUAGGCGGGUUAGCAAGUCAGAAGUGAAAGCCCGGGGGUCAACUCCGGGAUUGCCUUUGAAACUGUUGAACUAGAGUGCACGAGAGGUAAGGGGAAUGCGUGGUGUAGCGGUGAAAUGAAUAGAUAUUAGGAGGAACACCAGUGGCGAAGGCAGCCUACUGGACUGUAAAUGACGCUGAGGCUCGAAAGCGUGGGGAGCGAACAGGAUUAGAUACCCUUGUAGUC